AUUGAACGCUGGCGGCAGGCAUAAUACAUGCAAGUAGAACGAGUGGCGGACGGGUGAGUAAUGUCUGGGAAACUGACCGAUGGAGGGGGAUAACUACUGGAAACGGUAGCUAAUACCGCAUACCAUCGGAUGUGCCAAGAUGGGAUUAGCGAGUAGGUGGGGUAACGGCGCACCUAGGGGAAGAUCCCUAGCUGGUCUGAGAGGAGGACCAGCCACACUGGAACUGAGACACGGUCCCGACUCCUACGUGAGGCAGCAGUGGGGAAUAUUGCACAAUGGGCGCAAGCCUGAUGCAGCCAUGCCGCGUGUAUGAAGAAGGUCUUCGGGUUGUAAAGUACUUUUAGCGAGGAGGCGUUACUCGCAGAAGAAGCACCGGCUAACUCCGUGCCAGCAGCCGCGGUAAUAC
rnacentral:rRNA from 1 species